UACGGAGGUGCGAGCGUUGUCCGGAAUCACUGGGCGUAAAGGGCGCGUAGGCGGCUGGGGAAGUCCGUGGUGAAAGCUCGUGGCUCAACUGCGAGUCGGCCAUGGAUACUCCUCGGCUCGAGCACUGUAGAGGCAGGUGGAAUUCCGGGUGUAGCGGUGGAAUGCGUAGAGAUCCGGAAGAACACCGGUGGCGAAGGCGGCCUGCUGGGCAGUAGCUGACGCUGAGGCGCGACAGCGGUGGGGAGCAAACAGG
rnacentral:rRNA from 1 species